GAGAGAGACGCCAUGGAGCUGCCAGAGUCAGACAUGCUGAAAUUUUGCUGCAGACUCCAGCAUGACUUCAUUGUACCAGGGAAGAAAAAAACUCAUGGAUGUUAGACCAGGAGACAAGCCAAUCUGGAUGGUGAUUUUACCCAAAAGAUCCCAGGAAGGGCCAAUUCAGAGGACCAAAUGCCCAGCUUCACCUGUGAAGAACUCAACUAUGGCUCAGUCUUCAUAUCCAGACAGAGAACUAAUGUUUAGCUGGGCAUGAUGCACGCCUUUAAUCCCAGCACUCAGGAGGCAGAGGCAGGCGGAUCUGUGAGUUCAAAGACAACCAGGACUACACAAAGAAGCCCUGUCUCGAGGAAGAAAAAAAAAUUCAACUAUGGCUAAAUUUUCCAUACCUCGACAGAGAACCAAUGUCUAAUAAAAAGUACUGGUACGUGUGGAAAAACACAGACAAAAAGAAUUCAAGACACCAGAAGGAAAUGAACGAUAAACAAACAACUGUAACAUGGAGCUGGAGAGAUGGCUCAGCAGUUAUGAGCACUUAUUGCUCUUACCAAAGACCCAGGUUUGAUUCCCAGCACCUGUAUGGCAGUUGCCAACCGUUGUAGUUCCAGUUAUGGGGGGCCUGAUGCCUCCUCCUGGCCUCCACAUGCUCUCAAACAGGUGUGAUGCACAUAAACACACAUACAACACAAAUGUUAAACAAAAACAAACAAACAUAAAAACUUGAAACUUACAUUCCAAGGUACUGUAUUAGGUUCCUUAAAUUUAUAUAUUCAGGAUAGAAAAAUCGGAAUUAACUUUCUGAGCACAAACACAAAAAUAGAAUACAUUUAUUAACGGUAGGAAAGCUACAUUUACUAUAACAAUGUAUCAAAUGUCACAUAACACAGCAAAAAGAGCAACUUCUUACUUGAUAUUCUGAUGUAGGAUCUUCAAAGCCUGUCCUAUACACACCUUACCACAUACCCACAUAAAGUAUCCAUAU